CCUACGUACUCACUCACGCACGGCAGGAGCGGGGGACCCAGGUAAGUCGCCGGACCGGACGCCUCGAUGGCACGCCGGGCCGGCUCGGGGUGAAGUUCGCGCUGCCGCACGGCGGCGCGGCCGGGCAUCUCCCGCCCGAACCCGACAGCUCACCUCGCAGGCGUCGGAGAGGAACA
rnacentral:sRNA from 1 species